rnacentral:tRNA from 1 species
UGUCCCAUAGUGUAAUGGUAACACAAGAGAUUCUGGCUCUCUUAUUUCAGGUUCGAAUCCUGAUGGGAUAA